GCAACACCAUACUGAGUGUACCUGAUUCUGCUGAUUUUGGAAACUACGCAGUCCUGAGCUUGGCUAGUAUCUGGAUGGGAGACCACUUGAAAAUCUGUCAAUGUGCA
rnacentral:rRNA from 1 species